rnacentral:rRNA from 1 species
UACGGAGGGUGCAAGCAUUGAUCGGAAUUACUGGGCGUAAAGGGCGCGUAGGCGGCAGGGAAAGUCGGUUGUGAAAUUCCAAAGCUCAACUUUGGAGCAGCAAACGAAACUAACCAGCUAGAGUGCAGUUAGGGAAAACGGAAUUCCACAUGUAGCGGUGAAAUGCGUAGAUAUGUGGAGGAACACCGGUGGUGAAGACGGUUUUCUGGGCUGUAACAGACGCUGAGGCGCGAAAGCAUGGGGAGCAAACAGG